rnacentral:lncRNA from 1 species
UUCUCUCGCCUCGCCCCUUGCUCUUAUUGAUUACUGGAUUGGAUUCUUUAAUGCCUCGCUGACUUAUGGGUUAUUUCUGACUUCAUUAUAUAUACCCUUUGCCCUUAUGACUCUGAUUGGAUUCUGAAAUGCCAUUAUUAACUUCAAGCUCAAGUGCAUCUGCCCUGCCGGAAUACGAGUAUAGUUCUGUUCGCCUAGUUCGAGUUAAGGUAAUAGGAAAGUUUGAGUAGAAAGCAGGGUUCAAGGAAGAAGAUAGUUGUUCUGAAGCUGUAAGUAAAGAAGUGUAAUCACAAGAAGUUAAUCAUAUAAAGAAGACAGAAAGCGAAGGUGAAAGUGGAAUCGAAGUUCUUGUUUCACUGACAUUAGAUAGAGUGGGGUAAUCCAACUGAUAGGUAGCUGAACCAGCAACUGAACUAGUAAGCAACGAAGCUUGAAGGAAAUCCGGGGGUUAACUACUAGGUUCUAGCUUAAAGAGAGUCCGUUUGUGUGCGAGUGAAGUCUCCGAGAUCAUCAGCAGAAACAAGAGCUGGAUCUGAGGAAGUAUUAGUAUAAGCUUAUAAAUUGCCUGUUCCAAGUAUUGUUUUAGUAUACGCUUGGCCUUUUUGAGUAUACGCUUGGCCCUUCCCGCAUCUGAACGGACAGUAUCCAUCUUCUUUCUUGGCGCCCUGAGAGGAAUCCGUUCCAGUUUUGUCAACAGGAUUAGAAGCGGAAAAUGGAAAUGGAGUAUUUGUUGAGCCAGCAGUAGAUAAGUAAAGUAAGCUGAUAGAGCAGAGAGAAAGAGAGACUAAACAAGUAUAAGGAAAUUCUGUCUUUCGAGCACCAAGUAUAGAAUCUACAAGUAUAGAAAAAAGAAAGUCACACCCGCUUAGCAUCCUUUUUGACCUACCGGGAUAGAUGCUACUUUUCAGUCCAUUUCAGUGCAGAAUGAAUUUCAUCCCUCGACUCGAUAACUUGGUAUAGAAUGAUUUUCCCUUAUACCUCUUACAGCAGAUGGGGAUUCUUCUUCGGCUUCAGGAUCUCGUAGACAAUGACACAAGAACAGAACUUUAGGAACGGAACUCUACCUCAGGACAGAUACUGGUUCCCUUGCCAGCCUACCUCUCUUAUGGAGUAUGAGAUUCUAUAUAUACCCUCGCUUCUUAUCUAACUCUUAUAUGAUUAUUAUUCCCUACACUCUUAAUCGAUUGUUGCUUACUUACUUUCUACAGCUUCUUGGUUCUCGGAUUCUUAAUGAAAGUCAAACUACACUUUAUACUUAACCGCAGGGUGGGCAUUCGAUUCGGCUUCCUUUAUUGACUUUGAAUCUACUGCUUGCUGGGCUCGCACACCAGUACAAGGUUCUGACCGGAACCCUUUCUUCAAACUGCUAUGGAUUCUGAGCAGCUGGGCGCUUCAGUAAACAGUGAGUUUAGCUUAGCUAGUUCUGAGUUCCCCUUGUGCUUACGUGAUUUGGAGGAGUCUUUCUAAAGUGGUUUAUACUAAGAAAUCUGCUUUUGCACUCCAUUCUCUUACCAUCGUUUACCCUUAUCAGCAUGAACUCGCACCCAAAGAGAUUCUCUAGUCAGAGAAAGCUACAAUUACAAUACAAUAAAGAUUGAACAACACCACGCUUCAGGAGCCCAUAAUCCUACAAGGCAAUCAGUUGACUUCUUCUGCCCUAAACUUCCCCGAACCUUUACCUUCAAGCAACUGUCCACUCUCUUAAACAAGCAACGCGCUAACGCUUACUUCUGACUUUCUUUCCGGGGGAAACUCCAUUCUUUGAAAAUAACUCUCACUAACGUGCACCCCAAAACCAAUAGUCUAGAAGCGCUAGCACAACAGCGCAAGAACAAGUGGUAGAGUGAAAUACAUAUUCAUAGGAAUUUACCAGAUAGGCGCGGGCCCUAGUAUAUUCGUCACUUCCUCCCGGGAAGCUUGCUAAAGGUCAAUGAUUACCCGGCGCAGGUUCGAGUACGAUUGACAGGAAAGUCGACCAAAGCAGAUCUAGCAGUAGAUUCCAAGUAAUGAAAGAUCGUUUUUUCAGUAGUUUACAGUGUCAGUUCCGGAAAUUCCACAAGGGGGGCGAUGCGCAAGACUCAGUUAAUAAGUGGAAUUGUUUACAUUCCUAUCAUCCUUAAAUGAAUGGCAGUAAUAAAUGAUUGUUUUCCAUCAGAAGAAGAAACAAGACGUUAUGAAAGUGAAUCAGUUAAGUCGACUCCAUCAGACAGAAAAGAAUCUUGCAUCGCAACAAAGAAUUCCAUUUCUCUAUAACUUAUACGCAUGGAAUGUCAUCAGGCAGCUCAGCUCACUGGCCCCGAAAUAAGGACUUGCUAUGACGCGGAAGACUCCUUCUUUCCUGUGAUAUCGAGACUAAGGGCUAAGGCUGUGUUGGCUACGAAAGCAGCAGAAUCCGCUUAUGAAUUGCCAGUGAGAGUUUCAGUUGGCAGAGCAGGAGUAGGUUCCGCAUUUACAUCUUAUGUCAGUUCAAUGAAAUUCUGCGCUAAUGGGAGUUAUGUGGGCCACUAAGAACAUAGGUCCGCUCCUAAGCUUGCUUCCUUUAACGGGUGCAUUAGAGAGUUUCCCUUGAGAAUGGAAUUGAAUCAUUGAAUCUAGAUAAGAAAGAGAAAGAGCAAAGUAUAGAUUGAUGUAACAAACUGGAGAGGACACUCGGCCUUAUAGUCGCAGCUAACACAUUACCCCUUACCCUUGCCUUUAGAAUGUACCUUAACCUUCGAAAGCCCUUGCUUGUUCUGUACGUGCCUAAAUUCCUUUUUCAGCUAAUACGGUGCAAGUAUAAAGGAACUUCGAAUCCAGUUUCUUUGGGUGCUCGUGUUCUUGUAGAUGGAAUCAAUGAGAGCAACUCUAGUCUGUAGACGCAAAAAGGGGGUCUCGGUUUCUUUACUUAUGAAGCGCACUGCUAGCAAACUAAAGGCGGAAAAGAAGAGCAACCUGCGCCAAUAGAAUAACUUUAAGUAAUAAGUAUGCUGUGUUUUUAUUAAUUGAUAGAAUGUGCGCACUCUCUUCAACAAGUGGUUAUGUGCACCAGAUUCCACAAGCGAAGAAGCAAACAAGCAUGGAGGGUGAAGAAGCCAACAAGCAUGGGCGCUAACCUUAGUUAUUAAAGGAAGCAAUGCUGUCUUUAUACGGUUUUUUAGUUAGGAAGAAAUAAGUGAGUUUACUGUAUAUUUCUAUUAUGUAUUAUGUGAGUUCAAUGAAAUGAUGACUUUCUAGUUGAGUUCUUUGAAUAGAGAGAGAAUAUCUUAAACCACCCCGCGGGAAAUAAAGAUAGGUUGACAGCUUUCACCGAUAAGUCUCAAGUAUCUGAGUUCCUAUUGAAUAAAAAGAAUCCGAAUCAGCAGUAUCAAGUAAGUCAGCAGCAAGAGAUUCUGAAAGUAAUGAAUCAGCAGCCGCAAGAUCACGGUCUGAAGAUGGAGCAGGAUAAGAAGUGUUACCGCGUAUACGUAUAUAAGUCUGGACCACUCCCAGAGACCAAUGACUCUUGUAAUAACUCUUUAUUGAUUUGGCGUAAGCCCUCCCCUUUUUUGUUAGUGAGCGGAACCCUAACCCUUGUGCUAAGGACAAUUAGUGUACGAGAACAAGAAGACUAAGUGUAAUAGCUUGUUUCUUGGGGUGCAUUAGCUUCGUUGCUGACUUUCUUCGUCCAGCACUGUCCACAACUGUCCACCUACAGGCCUUUAGGGAAAUGAAAUAGGAAAAACAGCAAGCAAGACUAUAGCUUACGGAGUUUUAACAAGCAAAGGGCUUCUAACACGGGAACCCCAGUCUACUACAGCACAGCGAACGUAAGGUGCAAGCCAAGUGAUAGGGCUGGAAGAGCAAAUGAAUUUCCAUCCAAAUAUCACUUUAUUGUUUCAUCGACGAGAGCAUAAGAUAGAGCUGGUAAGGAAGCAGGAAAGUAUUGUUCGGCAAAUGACUUUCGAGUAUCGUUUAAGGAAGAAGAAGAAUCUGUGUUGUCCACGAGAUCCGUUCUUGGCGCUUGACCUUUGUAUUUCAUCCUAUAUAGAAGCUGUGCGAUAGAUUCCAUUAAUUCUUAAGACAGUGGAGUUGAGAAAUUGACAGUGCCCCAGUCACUGAUAAUAUUAUGACUUGUAACCCGUUGCGCCUAGGGAGUAAUUGGUGGAAAGUAGAGUGUGAGUUGAAUCCCUUGUGGAAUAAGAAUAAGAGUAUCAAGCCGAAGCUAAAGAAGAAGUCGGCUUAUCUGUCUGCUUGUCCCACGUGAACUCCUUCUCUUACCCAGCCGUAGUUCCUUGGCCCAGUAGAGUUCUGGCAGAGCAAAGAUUGGAGCCAGCAGUCAGGACAGGAGUGAGCUUUGGAAUUGAAAAGUUGGGUGUGAUCUUAGGUGGAGCAGGGGCAUGAUCUGCAGCAGUUCAAUAUCCCGUUGUUGUAGGCUGUAGCUCCUUGUCUGCAAGAGAAGUUAUUGUGUCCGUAACUCGCAAAAAGGUAGGCUUUUCAGAGGGAGUCCUGUUUUGGGGAGACGAAGCUGUGCUAAGGCAGUUGUAUAACCCUAGUGUUAAGCAAGUAGUAAAUAGAGAGAAAAGAAGCUUUUUCCAUAUCCGGAGUAGGAACAAGAAUAGGUAAGGGAGUUGAGUUCGGAGAAGAAACCAUAUCUGGUGAGGAUGCAAGUGCUUUCGGGUCUGUAAACUCCGUAUUAGCAAGGGAGCAGGUCUGAUUCUAGGUUCAAAUAUGCAAUCAUAAGGCAAGUUUCUUAGUGGAAAUGAUGGAUUUCCUAUAAGACUAAAGAAGUUGUGUUAAAGAUUAGGGUGGAAAAUGAACUACUAAUUGAAUUGCCAGAAGGACAAAGUAAUGGAAGAAAGAAAGACGAAAGCCAGGGGAGUUUAGCGCCCAGAGCUAGUCGGAUCGGAAUACAGAUAAGGUAGUAAAGAGAAGAGAUGCUGCCAGACUUAUUUCAUGGUUGAAUCCCUUGUAGGUAGUAGCGACUAGGUAGUAGCGACCAGGCCAAUUCCAGUUCAAAAGUAUGUAGUCUGCUGUGGUUCUUCAAGUGCUGUUGAGGUCGGUUCAGAAAGGGGAGUUGCCUCAGCUCAGUAUUUGCAAGGGAGUUAAGGGAGUGAGCUUACCUUAGUUGUUAAGGGAGGGAGUGUAGUUCGGACGUAUGUAUUCAAUAGUUUCUGAGUAGCUUAUUCAAUAGUUUCUGAGUAGCUUGUUGAGGAGUAGCUUGGCCUAUCCAAAUAUCUGUUAUUAUUAAAGAAUCAAGUUUCGAAAGGGAUUCUAGCCUAUCAGCAAUAAACCCGAGGAACUGGAGUCCUGUAUUAAUGGCGGCAAAGUCUCUUUCCCUACCGGAGUAACAGAGCAAGAGGGUAUGAAGAUUCUAGGAAGAAAUGCAUUUCUACAGCCGAGAAGUAUAUUUCCAAAUUCAUAGUUGCUUGCCCCGGCUUCUAAUCAAUAAAAAGUAAAGGCUUUGAUGCGAGGUAUCAGUUGUUGAAUGAUUAGUUGUGCUAAGGUAGUUUACAGUGAGCAUAAAACGAACCUUGUUUACCACUAGGCUCACCCGCUCUUUGAACACUGAAACAGAUGAUUCUCUCUCUCCCGCAAACAAUGCUCGAACUCUCCUUUCUUUCUAAACAAGAAUACAUCUUUCCCAUCUAAGCUCUCACUACUGCUGACUUUGGCACUGCUUCCUAUCGGCUCGGCUUCUAUAUAAGAUGAAAGUCACCCAGGUUCUUUACCUUAGUUGUCAUAGAGAGAACUGAUGCUUCUCUUGCUUCCCCGACCUAUCUCCUUUACCAUAUUGGUUGCUUGGUGUUUAAAACAUUCCAAUAUCAAUGAAUUCUUUGUAGUCUCCGCUUGUCCUGUCCGAGCUAGGGAUAAAGAAAGUACAGGCUUAGUUGCGAGGGAGAGGCAAAAGGGAUGACAAGCCGAUCAGAUUGAAAGGAAGUAGCUAUAUACCGAGUAGGGGAUAGAAUCCGGAGCUGGAGUGGAAUACCGAGUAGCCGGAGGAGAGAGAGGCUAAAUCCAAUCUCUAAGCUAAGUCAGAUCUCUAAGUCAGAGCGAGAGCUGUUAUUGACUUCCUUCUAUCAUACCUAGAGCUAGAGCACCCACCCAUGACCAAAGAGCUUAUACUUAUUUGUUAUUGCUUAUUUGUUAUUGCUUACAUUCAUUGCUUACAGCAGGCUGGCUCUGCUCUAUCCGCUUACUGAAACUCACUUAUUCUUAUUGCUUAAAAACUCCAUACUUCUCUUUUUCCGACCUCAACUCUCAGUGAAGCUUACCUCUGACCUGCACCUUAACAAUUCCAGUAUUGUUCCCCAGUCAUAAAGUGUUGACUUUCCUCAUACAGAUCCCGAUCAAGCAUCUUCAAUAACACCCAGCCAGCCAGCCAGGCAAUUCUCCACUGUAAACCCUACCCUUACUUCGUUCAGCGCCCAGUCCUUAUUGUCUUUCUGCAGGAUCAGAUGACGCAACAGUUUCAACAGAAGAAUAAGUUCCAGCUAAGUAGACUCGAUCAUAAGAAUCAAAUACGGGCGCAGUAUCUUGAUCAUAAGCUAGAUAAUCUACGGGAGCAGGAAAGUCUCUCCGUAUUGGCUUAGAAGCGGGUAAUUAACAAUGAAAUUCUGAACUUCACAAUAGAGGUGGAGAAAGAUUCAAGGAUAGUUCCUUUCUAGUGAAGUCGACAAGGCCUUCUAGUAAUUUGCUGUUGGAGCAGAUCCUUUAGUUAUAUAUAGGUAGAGCAGCAGAUCCAGUAGUUAUAGAGUCAGCAUCAGAAGGAGAAGUUUCCGGUCUCAAGUCUUGUGUUGGUGUGGGUAAGAUAGGUAGGUAGGUUCGGGAGACAAUGAAAUACCAGUAGUUGUGGCAAUCAGAUCCUCUGAACCAGGGAAAGUCGUUUCAUGAUUUGUUUAAUGUGAAGGAAAGCUGUAUGCAGUGAUAGUUGAGUCUCGUGGAGAAUCCCCAGUGCCAGGGCGAGUGAGAGUUUGACCCCUUGUUUAAUAUCCCAAUAAGGCCUUGUUGCGGCGGAGUUCAAUCAGAUCUUUCUUCCCUUGGAGUGGAAUUCGUACUUUGCUCCUAUUUAUGACCUUCAAGUUCAAUUAAGUAAACUUUAUUCUUAUUAUUAAAGAAGUUACCCACUACUAUAGACUGACUGUUCUAGGAAGAAUCAAUUCUAUGCUUUUCAGUGGGAAGCUCUUCUUCACAGGAGAUGCAGCGGGAAUAGAAGCAGUGCUAAAGUCAUUUACUCGAUAAGAAGGAGCGGAUACUCUAAUUAGAUACGAGGGAGCGGUCUGAGACUCUUCCUGGAACUGUCACUGGGGCAGUACUCUCAUCUAACUCAGGCAACCGAGCACAUAGCAAGUAGGCAAGCAGCGGCAUACAAUCCGUUUUCACCAAACCCCAGUAGCUCUGUUCUUGUUCUUGUUGCACCCCCAGCUCCAUCUUUAGCUGAUGAUCUUAGUUCCAAAAGAAGCUUUUUACUGAUAUGCUUUCUUUAUAUUUAGAAUAUAUAAUAAGUAUAAUAAGAAAGAUGAUAAAACGAAUGCUAGCUUUUGUAGUUCAGUUUCACCAACGCUAAUAAGACUGACCUACUGUCCCGGAGCUCCGUGAACUCAACUCAACACUAGUGCACAAACGCCGCUGUCAGAAAGAAAACACAUAAGAGUUUUUUUGUUACCUUGAUGCUUAUGCCUUCGGGAACCAAACCUUGCUUUCCAACCUAAACUACUAGGGGCGAUUGCAAGCCUGCUCUUCAUAUCUAUAAGUCUGCCUUUACUGCCUAUGAGCCUCCACCCUUAUUACUUCAAUUAUGUAUUUACCCUUUGAUUACUAUACUGUGCUGGAACCAAACCUUGUUUUACUGCAUAUCAGGCUUAGCGCUCUACCCUGGCAUUCUGGAGUUGUAAACCCCUAAUAGCGAGGUCAACUUCUAGGGCCAAGACACUACGUCAGUAGCGCGGUAGGAGCGGUUCCUAGUAUACGAGUAGUCCGGAGUUAACCUAAUUAAUAGCGUCAGUGAGCCUUUCUGAAAAAAAGAUGGAUUUUCCAAUGCCAAGUAAACGGAAAACGAGUAUAGCCAGCCCGGAUCGAUUGAAUUGAGCUCUUAAGAGAAAGUGUCUCUGGUCUUUGAGUAGGUGCUAUGGUACUGAUUCUCUGCCUCUAAGGAAGUCAAUUCCCGUCGAGCUUGAUAGAUAGAGUCAAAGGAAAAGUAGAAAGCUUACAGCGAAAGCGAUGGUUAGGGCAUGGGAGACUAGACUGGCGAUUGGGCAAAUGGCCUUUCCACUGAAAACUUGAUAGGGGCGGAGGUUGACAUACGCAUACAAGGGGCUGUCGAGGCUUACUUACUAAUAAGUAGUAAAUGUAUCUCUAUUCAAUGUAAUAAGUCGUAAAUGUAUCUCUAUUCAAUGGGGGAUUGGUUUGAAUCCUUCCUUAGUUAAGGAUAUCAGAGCAUAAAGACGGAAGCAAAUCAGUAUAUCACUGGAAUACUAGAAAUCGGGUAAGGUCAAAUCCUUAUAUCACUGGAAUACUAUAAAUGGGGUAUGGAUUCAGAAGUAAUUGCUUUCUAAAGGAUUCUCUUGAGCCUCGCCCUUUAUUGACUCUAUAAAGCACUGGAAGGCUGGACGGACUAAAGCACUGCGCUAUCCUGCUAGCAUAACAGGUAAAAGUGUAGUAGCGUCGGCUUUGUUAAUAGGCUUGAAACUAGAAAAAGAAUAGUAAGGUGGUUAGGGCUUGAAACCAACGGGCUAACAGACUAUCGCACUAAAGGUAAUCAUGCUUCUGGUGGAAACUGGAACCAGGAACCGAGCGUACUAUAAGAAAGCUAAGGCUAUCCCGUGGGUGUGUAAAACAUUUCAAUCUCCUUGCAAUGAAUGGGAAAGAAAAAGAAGAAAGAGAGAAACUCUUCGCUAACGCCCCUGGAACUAAUCCUCGGAGAUACGGGAAAGCAGGAAUAACUCCAGCAAGCUUCCUACUGUAUUUGAUAUUGGCUUUCGUUAUUACGAAGAUAGAAAAUUCCUAACCCGAUUGAUUGACCCUUUCUCCUUUCCAGAGUUAUGCUCCCCGCACGCACGCCCGAUUCAGUGGUGAGUCUAAAGAAAGGUAAAGAUCGCCUUCACAAUACUAAGAGCCCUUCCUUUAUUACGCAGGGAGGAUGAAUUGACCAACUCGACAAGCUCUCCUAAUAUGAUGGUCUUAGAAGCGUCUUUAAUCUAAUAGGGGUAAAGAAAAGAUCGGGACUAUUGCCUUCACUACCUGCCUUCCACCAAAUAAUUCCUAUCACUAUACAAGACGGUGAUGAUUUGAUGCAAUUUUGGCUCGGCUUUCUCUUAGUACAUGUGCCCGAUGGCCCUUUUCGGUACUUUGGGGAGUCAGGCUAUUAUGAUGUCAUAUUCUGGAUUUGUUUUAGAGCUAAUAGGAGAUGAGAUCAUGUAAGUAAGUCUUUGAAGCUAAUAGGAGAUGAGAUCAUGUAAGUCUUUUCACAAUAUUAGCCAUAAGCCCACUUUUCCAAGGCUAUAUAUUUGCCACAGAGAAAACUAAGUAGAGUUUUGAACGUCUGCUGUAGCUCUAGUUGUGGGGGGCUAGCUGGGGCUUUGGAUUGCUUUUCUCUCCUUAACGGCUAGCCUAUGUGCGAUAUGCUUGUUUGCUUGUUUGCGCUAACUUCGUUUCUGUUGCUUGUUCAUGGCCUUACAUAGGUCUCAACUCUCCAUUGACUUUAUACAUGCAUCGGCCCUUGAAUUGACAACGUUCUCUUUCCCAGCCAGCAUUCAUCAUUAUGAGUGAGCGAGAUACUUUUCGUUCUUGUGGUAUACAGCUUUCAGGGGCGAGGGAAUGCGUGAGAUAAAUGGCUUCAUCUGCGAGCAAUCAUUCUUUCCUAGAUAAGAAGAGAUACCAUCGCCGAAUAAAUGAAAUGGGUUUAGCUUAUUGAUUGAAAAUGACCUCCUCCAGAUGCACAUAGAAAGGAAGAGAGAUUGCUUAUGUCUCAGUCGCCCCGCUCUCACUUGGCUCUCCCCUCCCCUUGACUUCUGUCGUCGGACUACGCGCACUGGAUCGGUUUCGGACUACGCGCACUGGAUCGGUUUUAGAUAAUAGAUGGAGAAUUCCGCCGCUGAAAGAUCACUUAAUCACACACAAGCAAGAUUCUAUUUGACCGGUGAGAAGAACUGGGACUUUAUGCUAAAAGAAGCGAGAACACACUCGUUAGAAGUUAGGAAUCAGGGCUCUAUUCUUAUGACGGAGUGCUUGAAUGGGAAGAGUGUUUUUUGUUAGGUUUAGGCCUUCCAGUGUCGAGUGGCAUUGUAGCAAAUUCCUAUAUAGAAGACAGAAUGAUCAACUGCAAGCAUUGUAUAGAACAAAAAGAAGCAACAAAGAGCUCCAUUAUGACUUGAGAGCACAUGGUAUAUAAGUAACAUUGAAUUGAGUAUUUUGUAUAGAAACUCGACGGGUAAUCAGACUUCAUUCUAUACUAGAGCUCCACGGGGUGUAGUUGUUUGUUCUUGUUGCCGGGGUGCGUUAGGAGUGCGCGCAAAAGCUAUUGGAGCUGCUCCAGUAGAAGAAUCAUUCUUUAUACUGGGUAAAGUGAGGCAGUUGGGAUGAUCCGCUACCCCGUCUUGUCUUCAUCUUCUUUCCUUUCCUUUCCAUCGAUUCCUGGAUUGCCUUCAUUCAUUCUGCUCGUGAAGAACACCUCCGCUCCUAUUGCUAAAGUUUUCCCACACCACACACAUAAUCCAUUAAUAUAUGGGUUUCAUAAACAAAGUCAAAAAGAUCAAUAAAUCAGUGGUUGAGUCAAGAUUCUUCUUUCUUUGUCGAGACAAGAACCCGACUUUCCUUAGGGGUUGCAUUUCACGAAAACUUUCCAUGUAAAUAAAUAUCUAAGCCAAUGGGGGCGGGCCCCUUUAGAUUACUUUACUUAUAGAUUUGUUCCAUUUCCAGAAUGAAUGAAGAAAGUACAAUUCUCAUAUGAUAGUGUAUAGGAAGCAAAACCUCAUCUCAUGUCUUUCUUUUGACAAAGAAUGCUUUAAAACAUCUGCGGCUUCCCCCUAAUCUCAUAGUGUAUCCUAUUUCCUUUCCAGCGCCCUAAAUCACAGGCUGGGCUCUUUCAUUCUUUGACAGUUGAGUGGGAUUUCCCAUAAUCCAUUGAUUGGGCCCGAAAUGUGUGGGGAGCUUGGCUCGCUCGUUUUAGUGUAAAUAUCAAUCUCCCUUGAAUGGAACCAGAGCCAGUUGGGGUAUAUAGCCGUCAGGUGUUUUUGGCUUCAUCCGAACCACGUGAUCUCUCUUCGUUCUUUUUUCCUAGAAAGAACCUGAUGUGUGUGAUCUAAAGCAGAAGAAUUGACAAGCAGAAGACAUCGGUCGUUAGGGAAUUUCUCUUUCUUUCGUUCUGGAGGCUUAUGAAAUAAUAGCUAGCUUCGUCCCACCGAGAAAAGAUUGUUUGAAGUUCGAAUUCCUAGUGAUUGAAUUGUGCUUCACUUUGGAAGAAUUCCCGACCUUUGAGAUGAAAUCAGAAACGACUUUCGAAAGAGGAAUCCCCGGCUCUUGUAAGGAGACCCGUCCACUUGAGCCUGAAGCUGCUUCUCGCAUUCAAAGGCAUGAUCAAAUAAAGAGGGCUGGGCUCUCGAUGUCUGAAAGAACCUAUGCACUUUAUCCUAGGCUCGGAAAGAUCCCACAUCUGGUUAACUGCUUUAGGAGUGAGUGCCGGUGUAAGGCUUUUUCCCCCACCACGCCCUUGCAAUGUAUCCUUUGAUGAAAUGUUGCUUUUUCAUAUCAUACAAUUUAGUGUUAAGAGAUUCUCUGCUCCUAACUGUCCCAAGGGGCCGAGCCAUAUGUUUCUAAGGAUGUUCUUGUGUAAAGUUCGUAGGCCAAGACAAUAGAACAUUUCUUGUGGUCGGGCAUACAAUAGAACGGUCGUACAUCCGUCCAUUUAGGUUUUCCACUUUAUCCACAACACAUGUGUGGUACCCUUUUUCAAAGCAAGAGCGCCUCGAGGGCGGGACAAAGCAUCUCCCCAGAGGGUGACUGCGAUAUUGGCCUGCAUCAACUAUUUGUUUGGCCUUCUAUCCUUCCCGACCAUGACAAGGGCCAGUGCCGCUGGAGAUAAAGGAUUUGCUGGACUUUUCUCUCUUGAAGCGGGGAGCUGCUUAGAGCCAAUUGCACAUUCCGAUCUAGGUAACGAACGAGGUUUUUCCUUAGCGUCCACUCAACCAAGCUGAUCUGUACGCCUAUGUGAUCGAUCAAAUCAUUCUGAGGUAGCAUCAGGUGUGCAGCCGGAGCUCAACAAUCUCAGCGGAUAAUGCCAAUGCUUUUCCGAUAUGUAGUGCAGAGAUAGACGAAAGAAGUUGUGUCACCUGUAGCCACCCUUACUAAUAGUAUACUUUCACAAAUAAGAAAGAUUGACCCGCUAACCGCUUCCUUACUUCGAUCUCCCUCGAGUACCAUAACCAAGAUAAUCAAAGAAAUCCCAGCCCAGGGCCAAGUAACGACUAAUGUGUAGCGGCAGGAGUCCCCGGGUAGACUAAUUCGCUUUCAAACUAGUUGAAAGGAUAGGAGGAACUCUUGAACAUAUUGAUUAGUAUGGGGCUGAAAUGCCUUAGCCAAAGUCAACCACUCCUUAAGUAAACUAUACUCCAAUUGUUUGCUACUACCAUUCUUUAUCGAUUGAAGGCAGAAGAAGAGAACUACUCAGGGAUAAGAGAAAAGAGCACCACCUAUAGCUAUGAACUACUAGUAAACAUAUACUAAAGAGACUUAGCUUGCCAAUUGAACUAGAUCGCUUUUCUAUCCAUUAAUUAGAACAUCGCUUUACUUUCUUAGCGUGCGGUUAUCUGCGCUUGACUUUUCCAUGUAUUUAUCCUCAGGACUUUCCAGAGGGUAUGGAUUAAUGUGGUCUGUCUAUAGGCGGUCCCCUUAAAUGAAUGGGUAUUCCCACGCUGUCCAUUAUGAUAGAGUAGAAAGUCUGUCUCCUUGCCGAGUUGCUUGGCCACUAGCUUCUUGAGUGAAGUGAACCCCGCGCUACCUUUUAUUACUUAUAUCGGUCGCUAGACUCCAGUACUAUAUUUCAUUAUUUACCCCUUGUAGUUUGUUGAAUGAAUUUUCUCUCUAUCUCUUGCAAUAGUAUAUAAGAUCUGAUUGUAACAUCAUCUACAUUCCGUUUUUUCUGAGACCAGACCGGCUUUCCACUCUUAUUCAUCUAGUGCACAUAGCAUAUAACGGGUCUAGUGCACAUAGCAUAUAACGGGAAAGUCCAAAAACUCCUGUAGUGCACAGCACAGUAAUAAGUAAAGCUUUUCGAAGAUAAAAACACAUAUGAUAUAAUAUAAGAAAGUAACGUAGAACUCUAUGCUUUCCUUAGUUUGCUGGGCCCAAUAUUUGUCCUUUCGAUGAGGAGAGUAUUCGAGAGAAAAGCAAAAGAGAAUAGUAAACCCACGAAGAAGAGCCUGAAGGUAAGUAUAUAAACUACUAACAACGGGGAAAUCCCUUUAAGGAUCUGAUCUUAUCCCUUUUAGUCAGGUCCGUUUGAUAAAUAGAAUUGUGUAUGCAAACCCUAUUUGUGCAAGCCCUAUUUAUUCGCCUCUUCUCUGGCCGUGGGAGGAUGCAUUUAUUUGAAUUCCUGCUUGAUAAAGACCCAUGUAUUAUCGGAUUGACUCCGGAAGUGGAUUCCAAGCUUAUAAUCCAUAUUUAUGCAAGCGCCCUCGGGAUCUAAUCCCAUAUAUAUAUAUGAGAAAUGGUAUUCCUGUCCCUCGCAUGGUGGAUUAACUAUUUACUUGGCAACAUCCGCCCCUUCCUUGUUCUAGCUAAAGUAUAUUGUCUUUUUUUGUGCAUUCAUCAUUAUUGUCUUUCUUAUUACCUCUAUACUGAACUUAGAUCUAUAUAUUUUACAUAGAAUGCCAAUCUUCAAAAUGCUAAAUGGGAGUAAUACACUGUGACAUGACACGUUCACUGAAACCCCCUUUCUUUCUUUUUGGUAGCGAACCAUUUCUCGGAAAUAAUGGAAUAACUCAACAUGAUAGGUAGGAUAAAUAAAUAGAAGUAACCUUGUCUCGGGCAUCUACCAUUAUACCCACAAUGCUGAUUGGCCAUACAAUCGCUAUUCAUAAUGGAAAGGAACACACAUUGACCUAUUGAUUCAACAAAUUCCAUAAGAUAUCGUAUGGUAGGAAAUCAAAGCCAAAGCAAAGUUCAAAGAUAACUAACGGAAAGUCAAACAACAAGUGUUUCUCAUUCAUUGUUGGGGGAUAUGCUUCUUAUAAAUAACUCGAGUAGCGUAAAGGAGCUCAACAUAUAUAUAUAUGUAUGUGAGUAUGUCUGUUUUCAAAGCUAGAAGGAAGAGUCAUUGAUCUGAUUCGCUGACAUUCCUAUGAAUCAAUACUUAUUAUACAGGAACAGAGGGAGAGCAUCUUAUCGCAUUGCUAAAUCCUUGUAUAUUCUGCACAGCUUCAAAUGCUAGUAUAUGGGUUUGAACGAAGCGGAUUCAUUCAUUAGUCAAGCCAAAGUUCAUAGGUGUACCCAUUCUAUUGUUGUGAAUAAAUUAAGACCUCGAGCUCAAGGACGUAGUUCUCUAUCAAAAUACCUACUUGUAAUAACAUCGUGUUAGUAUUCAAGAGUGAAUAGGAGGAUGCCACCAGAAGACGUUGUGCGUUAUUAGUGUGCGCCCUUGCUUGUUGAGUUGCUUGCUCUCUCUUGCCUAAGGUUAUUUCACACUAAGCACUGAGAUGAGAACAUCUUAACUUCCUAGUCUCUUUCAGGUGAAGUCAAGCUCUUCGAUUGAUUGAGGACUCAUCGAUGGCUGGAGGCGGUUAGUCCGGCGCCUAAAAAGGGGUUUCAAUACAUUUGAUUGAAACUUAUAUGGCGCUUGGGGGAGACAAUUCCAUUAUCUCUAACAUUCGAGUAGAUUCAAUGAAAUCCAACAAAAAAGAAGAUUGACUGCACCUCUAUCAAACGCUUGGGCCUUCCUUACGACCUCGAAAGAACACCUCUAUUCUACGAGUGUCCGGUUAAAGCAGAAAGAAGCCAUUAUUAUCAAAUCCAAUGCUAAGCACGAAAUCCGCAGAGGAGUUCCGAAUCCGAUCAAAGGCUCUCUCUACCUUUUCCUUCCGACUGAUCUUCUUCUUUAUGCUAUACCGGCGGUACUAGCUCGUUUCUUUAUAUUAGUAAUAGCCAGCCCGUUUCUUUAUAUUAGUAAUAGCCAGCCUCUUUCUUUAUAUUCUCCCUUCUACAACUUGAGCAUCUUUCUUUUCCCUUUGCUCUUUGGUUCUCUAAGAAUGAUUUUGCUAUUCACAUUCAUCAGUAAUACGAUUGGAAUACAUAUUUUCUUGCUUGCUCUCUCACAGGCUUGGGUUGGAAUUUCGUUAGAAUGCAGCAGUAAAAGAAAGCACUCUCAGAAUAUUCCCAAAGUUGGCCAGUAGCCGCGGAUAUAUAAGUGGCACAGGAAAAGUAGUCGUCGUCCAAUUGAAGCAGAAAGGAGAGUUCGAAAGUUCUCUCGGUCAGGUCAGGUAAAAAACUCCCGUUCGCGCACCCAAAGGAGAGAAUUGGAGUGAAGAAUAAGAGAAUGAGAGUUUGCCGGUGUGCCUUAGGAGUGAGUCUGAAAUCCUCUGCCUUUCCACCCUGACUUUCUCACUGCUUCUAAUCGUUCUGGGCAUUCUCCUCGGCUUCGGUGGAUUCUCGAACUUAGGAUUCCUCUCGUUGACAACUUGGGCUAAGGGAGAUCAGUCCCGUCGUAAAGUCCUGUUUUCGGCAGUUCCUUGUCCUGAAUACUUGUUCUGUUAUUGGCACUUUCUCCUUAUUGUCUACGAGAUCAGAAGCUGGGUUAGCUCCCGACGAAUAAAGUACUGGUUUGGAAGCCGCCCCAAUCAAGUAAGCUGUUAUUGGUUCAUAAAGUAGAGUUGGAGUUCCAUCAUAUUAAGCGGAAUAUUGAGGGUCCGCAAGUGCUGUAGAAAGUCUAGGACCAUCAGCAAGCGCAAAGCAUAUUCAAUCAGCCUUCUUGGGGUUAGAGUUUCACCCUAUAUGGAAAAGCAAGUGUAUGAGAAGCAGCUGUAUAAAAGCAAGUUCACCUUGUAGUCCUGUUCUUGUUAGAGUGGAAUUCCGUAUUUGUAGCCAUCUGUUCAGUUCUCUUCUUGCCUCUAUCUCAUCUAACUAUGUUGCUUGGCCCUUAGAAUGCAUUUCUUUAGUUACUUGUCCAGAGGUAAUACUCUCUUUCCCUGGCUUCCUUCCUCCACAGAAUACUAGCUAUAGUGGCUCACUUCUAGUGGAUGCUCUUAUUCUUUCUCCGAUUAAUAUGCUGGAUCUCCUCCCGGUGCAACCUUUUGACUCUUACCGAAUCGAAUCCCGUGUGCUAGGGAAUUAAUCUAUUCCCGAUGGGAUUUCUCUCUUAUGUACAUUUCUUAAGUGAAGUAAUGCCUCUGGUUCCAGUAGUUCGUCUAAGGCGUAAAGAGAGCUGGCCUCAGUAAGCACUAAGGUGUGAGAUUCAUAAUAUCCCACAGAGUUUUGAUAUUCUGCAUAAAGUGAAGUAGUAUCAAAUUAGCUGGCCAGUAAUCUAAUUGUUCAUGAAGUUCCUUAGUAUGGGGUACGAAGUUAAUGAAGUAUCAGUAUAGUAUGGAAAUUAGCUGGCCAGUAAUCUAAUUGUCUUCUUUAAUAAUCCGUUAUUUUCUCGUAUAUUCGAGUUAGUAAGUUAGCGAGGUCUCAAAUGCUCUCUUUGCAGAUUUUCAUAGGUCAUUUCCUUCAUCGCAUAUGGGUAGCCUCAUAUCCUUUUGUGGCGGAGGGAGCUUUUCCUUCAGAAUCUUUCUUUUUCGGUGGGAGGGCAGGAAUCCUUCAAUGCUCUCUAGCCGGUAGUAGGUCAACUUCUUGAUGUAGUAGCUUUUGCGGAACUCUUGUCCUUUCCUCUUUCUUUCUUCUUUAGAUGUAUUUGGAUUAUGCUGCUUGAUUACUAGCAGUACGUAUUAUAAGAGCAAGGAAAUAUAAGAUAAGUGGGCGAUCCCAUUGCCAGAGCUCGAAACACUAUAUUAGCUACUUCUCCUUUUCGGUGAUGAGGAUCCUUUCUUCUUGCUCUUGAAGCAGACGCGGCGGAAACAUUAUGAUUCAGAGCUAAGGAGUUUUGAGUAAGCGGAACCUUUCUGUUUUGGUUAUUCUCCACUAUCCCAAACUCCAAAAGUGCUAUUCUAACAAAACUCAGAAAAUGCUUGGAGUAAGAAAGCUGCCUUUGACCAUAUUAUUCCAAAAGUCAGAAAAUGCUUGGAGAGUCAGAAAUUGACCCUAUUAUACCUUAUCAUCUGGAGCAGCCUUCCUUUCUAUGGUUUUUGUUUCUCCUUAAAUAUAGAUAUAUUGAUUGGAAAGUCAACUUCCUUAUUAUUUCACUCCUGACUCCCAAUUCCUAAUUCAUUCACUCCUUACUCUCAAUAAGGCUGAAGGAAAGUUGCAUUAGAAAAGAGAUGAUAUUAUACAUGGAAUAGAGUUGAGCGAACAAGGUCCCGAUCCUACUUUGUUUGAGAAUCAAUCUCGGACAUGAAGUAAGUGAAGUGAAUAACAGAAUGGAAAUAGGGCUUGGGCUUGUAAAAGAAUGGAGAUAGGGCUUGGGUCAGCGAAAGGAUGCUUCUGUGAGUAUUUGAAGUGAGUGAAAUAAUGAAAGCAAGUGAACAAAAGCAAACAAGCGCUGUAAGGUUAGGCGGAUCCCACUGUGCUGGGUGGGUGUUUAGUCACAAUAUGACAUUAGUUGUGCUUGAAAUGCCAGAAGUGAGGGCGAAAUGUGCUAGUUGUGAAAUGCUCUUUCCACUUUCCUUCUAGCUCCCCUUUCUUAUGAAUCUGACUGGCUUGGCUACCCCUUUGCUUCUUUACUAGCACUAGCUGUAUUGCUACUCAAAGCUUUGGAGUGUGUCCUGUGACUUCUACAAGGGGCGGAAUACAGUACUGACAUCGGCUGGAUAAAGAUCUGAGCAGUGAGAGUUCAAUCAACGAGAUCAGAAUCUUAGCUAGGAAAUGAUGAUGGUGCUCCCACUGGACAGAAGGUCAAUAAUUAGGAUAAGAAUGCCCAGACUCUGUUGAAAGAUGAGAGUGAGAUUCAACAAGCUAUGUUCCUUAUUUCGGCUAACACAAGUUAUACAUGUUCCCUUGUGCCAACGUGUGAGGAAAGCCCUUGUCUUGUGCGCGAGCGUAAGUAGUUGCGGUUGUGCUUGUUUCAAAAGCCCGUUUUAUUAACGUUCGAGUAUUGCGCUAAGGCAAUCAGUAUUGUGGUCAGUGAAUCAGUGUCAUCAAAGUCUCUAGAAAGAACUCGCUCACUUAAAGGGUGCCUACCUUCUAUUCCUUAGAGAACAAGCUAGGGAAAAAGCUUUCUUGCAAUUGAGUCAAGUAAGGAGUAAGGAAAACAAGCAAGGUCAAAUAGAAACAAGUGCGUUAGCGAGCGGAUCCACUCAUAAGUCAUAAUGAGACUACCCAAGGGUCAACUUGAACUCAGAACUAACUAAAGCAAGUGUAGUUGAGGUCGGGCAAGAAAGAGAUUCCAUUAAUGUUUGAGUUGAACGAGCUAGAUAUGAGGCAACAAUCGAUUCUUCAAGGUUAAGGGUUGACCGUGCGAGGAGUUUCCGCUUCCAGAGCUGGGAUCAGUAUCAUACUCCGUUUCCAAGUAAACAGCAAGCGAGUGCGGGUCUUCAAGGUCCCUUCAAGUAUAGUUCGGAUCUGGGAGUAGAGUUCUUUUUUCCUAAUGAUUUUAGGUUGUCGACUCGAAUAGCCAGUUGUUUCAUCCUCGUUUGUGUUAAGAGAAUUUCCAGUUUCUAAUUCUACAUGAGAAAACAGAGACUUUUAAUUGCACUUGCGCCAAGAACAAUACUUGAAGACUUAUAGACAACAGCAACACCUUCUCUUGCUACAAUAGUGGGAACACCUUCUCUUACGACAAUAGUGGGAACACCUUCUCUUGCUACAAUAGUGGGAUCUGUAUAGGACCUGGAAUGGAAUUAAGUAGCUUAUAAGUGUAUAGAAAUCCUUAACUAAACACUGCAUAGCUCCCGUAGCUUGUUUGUGCUGUUCCUGCAGCUUUCGAUCUACCCCUUUUGCUUUAAGAAGGAAGGGAAUUGAGCUAUCUUCGACUUCGGUUAACUCUGGAAGCUAUAGUUUAUUCAUCUAGUGCACAUUGAUUAGUCUCUCCAUCUUAUCCUCGUAACAAAGAAACCACUUGACUUUACGCAUUAGCACUUAGUCUUGUAGGGCCUGUGAACAAGCAGGAAUUGGAAUUGUAAACUCGAGAAUUUCCUAUUCGAGUAUUGUCUUCAAGAUAAGGAUCAGGUACUGGCUUUGAAUCUAGGUCUAGGUCUAUAAACAAGGGUGCAAGAGAUAUGAAAGAGAAAUCUUACCUUAGAGUUGACGAAAACGAGCUAUGCGUAUAGAAGUGAAGAAUAUGACCUGUUUCCAUACCUGCUUACAUACUAAACAUGUUGUUCAGCUGACCCGCUUACAUACUAAACAUGUUGUUCAGCUGACCCAUUAAUUACUGCUUCAUUCUCAUCGACAACACCAUACCUUUCUACUGGACGGACCUCGAACAGAAUAAUACUAUACUGAUCUUGUCUACUUUCCUUCUUUUUCAUCUUCUCCUGUGCGUCUUCUGAUUCUAAAGCUUGUUAUCGAGCACAUGGUAUAGAUAAAAGUGACCUAACAGUAUCUUCUCCUAAUCGAUAUUCUUUACCAGCUGAUUCUGUUGUCGACUUCACUCGAAUAGCAUCCCUUUUUCUGACCUCCACUUCGAAAGUCACUUAUUGCUUGCUGACAUAUAAUGACAUAUAAAGUCACUUAUUGCUUGCUGACAUAUUAUAGUAUGACUUAAAUCACGGGUAUAGGCGACCUCUGAAACAAGAAUAGGAACUGGCCGACAAGGAGUGUAAACGGCACCGACAUCAUAACAACUAGUACUUUCUUCUGUUGUCGACUCAACUUUACUUGAAGGUUCUGUUGCUUUAGCUCCAUCUGAGGCUUCUGAUCUCGUAGACAAUGCUAAAACUCUAUGCCUAGAUUCUUCCUAAACCUGGACUUGAAGUUAAUCAUGUCAUUGAGGAUAUUACCCCUUAUAAUAGAUACGAGAACGAUUGGCGAACAAAACUGGCCUGUCUUCCGUGUUAGGAGUGAGUUGUGCGGGAGUUUGCAGAUAAAGAGCCUGCUGUUAUAGGUGUUUUGUCUCUCAAUUCUACCUAGUGUUACUCAUACUCUAGUCUUAAAGCAACUCGGGCCAGGAAAGGAAAGGAUAGGUCGGAAGUCAGCAGUAAAUGAAGGAGAGGCCCUUAUAGUCAGUUUGUUUGACUUCAAGGUUCAUCCCCUGUUGAAGUAGCAUCAUUGUAAGGGUAAGGCACACAAGUGAAAGAGUUUCAAAGAUGGGUUUACACGGUCUACAGAAUAUGAGUCUAUUUCUGUUCUAGAGUGAAGUAGAAAAGAUCUUCAGCAACAAGCAGGAAAGGCGGAGUAUAAAGAUAGAUAAGUCCGGGUAUCAAUUUGGGGGUAAUUAGAGAUAUCUGAUGAAAUGAUUAGGGUUCCUCGGUCCUCCGCGCAACAAGACCACUAUAAUCAAUGGUAAGAGUUCAAUCUCAUUCUGUGCUAAUGGGUCUUAAAGCAACUGAAUCAUAAGUUAGAUUACUUAGUUCUAUUAGUGGUGCUAAAGCAAGAUAGAGAUUCCAUUCGCUGUGUUUAUUGACUCGGUUGCAAACUCCUAAUGACGAUGAAGACAGUAACUCGUAUUCCAUUCGAAAUCCAUAGUUUAUUCCCUUCGCCUAAGCUUGGUUCACUUGCUUCUUAACUUGCAUGUUCUGUGGCUUCUGAACUUGGUGCUUGUUGUGAGCUCGAACUUAACUCCGUAAGCGCAACUCAACACUCAAUUCCGUUAGCGCAACAAAAGCCUUACUCUGGCUCUGGGCUGGCCCAACCCUAUAAUCAAAUACCGGACGGUACAUAGACCUGAAAGUGCCUUUUCACUGAAUUCCUGGUUGAGAGUUCCAAUCUGAUACUAAUUAGUGAAAAUCUGGUACUACUAAGUUGUAUUCUUUAUUUCUAGGUAAAGUGUUAUAGGCGCUGGUUAGUUUAUUUCCAAGUUUCCAGUUUAUGUCUUACUUCUUUAUUUCAUUCUUUUAUUGUGGGUUGAGUUAUUUAGUUUAUGGUUGUUUUCUGUAUUUACUACUGGAUUCUGACUCCGUGCUCCUUCUUAUGAUUCUUCUUCUCCUGUAUUACUAGCCUGUUUUCUAUUCUUAUUCAUAUCCGGAGCCCUAUUGUAGUAUAGUAGUGGUUGGAAAUGACAAAUCAGAAUGCAAGGUGUAGUUCGUAGAGAGGGUUGGCGCUAUAAGGAGUUGAUUUCCCAGCUCGUAGGUUGAUUCUUGGACUACUUAUUCCUAGGUUGGAGUUAAAGUCAGAGAAGUGAUGGAGUAAGCCUUAGUUCCGAGGUUAUUUCUUAUUAUUAUCAUUUUUGUCUUUUACUGUAGUUGGACGCUCAUCAGUAAUAGGGCCUUAGAAGCAGUAUCGGAAUACUCAAACUCGAACGGCAUAAGGAAAGCCAGAAAGGAAUUCUAGACACUGAAAUGGGAUCAGGCAUGAAAGACUUCAAACCGCCAAGCAACGACUAGACAAGUACAGGAACAGACCCGCUUGCUUCUACUACUGAUUCCACUGGGUUGGGCUCGCUGACCAAAGCAAAGAAUUCCACGACUUUCCCUUAUUCCUAUAGAAAGAGAAAGAGCAAAGUCACUACUAACCCUUACUUAUUAAAGCUUCGUGCCCAGAGCCUAGCUCCUCUCUUGUACUAUAGCCUAGCUCCUCCAUUCGAUAUUGACUACUUGCUUAAUUCUAUAUUGACUACUUGCCAACGACGUUCCAUUCUUCCUUUCUAGGUAUGCCAACGACGUUCCAUUCUUCCUUUCUAGGGGUACUGUUCAAUUCUUUCAUUCCUACUUAUGGACUACUUAGUUAGUUUGAUUCUUGCCCUUACCGGUUUGAGUCUGAUUGGAGUGAGUUUGGUUCUGAGUAGGAGUAGUUUGAGUCUCGAUGUUACUAGUUGAAGUCUUAAGUAAGCUACCCACAUACCCAGCAGCAGUCUCAUUGCCCUCGCUUUCAGGCUUGGACUCCUUUACUGGAUGCGCUAGAUCUAUCCCAUUCUUUCUAUUCUUAGUGUAGUACCUGUUCUUACAUCAAUUGAAGAAUUAGGAGCACUUGGGUUGGAAAGGGAUCUGAACUCGACUCGUUAAGUCUACCUCUGCUCUUGAAUCUCUGCUCUUGAAUGCUGUUGAAGAGUUUCCAUUUGAAAGGAAGAAGUCACCCAUAAAGUGAGAAUGAAAGUAAACCAGAGGGGUCUCGUUGCUUGGCCCUUACUUGCAUUAUGUAUUUCGCUACCUACCUUGCAUCUUCCACACACAGAUUAGUCUACCGAUACUUUAGCAAAGCCUGUCCUUUAUUACUUUCAUUAUGUAUCUCACCUUUGAUUCCAGUAGUUCACCUAUAAGUCCCCCUUUUCUUUGCUUUCAUUGAGGUAAACUAUAUCCGGUUGAGCCAAGGCAGGGAGACCAACAAUCAAGCUAUAUAGAAUGAAAAGCAUUAGUUUUCGUUUUCAAACAAGUGUAAGUCAGAAUGUCUCGCUUAGGGGUUUCGAAAGGAUCGGAAGAGCUUCUUUAGUGUAAAGAGGUAAGGCUCGCUGGCAUUGAUUGAAUCCCUAUUUGGUUAGUUCCAUUCCAUUGGAGGAGUCGUUUUGCCUUGUUUUAACCGGCCCAAUUCUUAUUAGUAGUAGCUACAGCCCUAUCAAAAGGAAAGUCAGCCGGGAAUCGAGUAAGGAAGCUUAGGGACCCCAGGAGGAAAUACUUUAGGUCCAGCAGUGGCAGACUCGAACAAGAGCUAAGGAGUUCAAUUCCGGGGUCAUUAGCCGACACUUGGAGUUGGGAGUGCAAAAGUGAAGCUACCGAACAAGGCUUGGAGCUUUGGUUGCGGGGUCAGUUCUCUAGUUAGGUAAUUCAUAUUUGUUCUUCGGGGUUUCAGAAUGCAAAUAGGGAAUAUCAAACGAAUCUUUAUGUGGUGAAAUAAGAAAUGUCUCCCUUAGGUUCAGCCAGGGGUUUCAUCAGCUUUCAACUAACAAGCACGACUUAGAGUCAAGGGUAAGAUAAGAGGCCAUAAGGAUGGAUUGGACAUUGAACACAUAGUGGUAAGGCGAAGACUGCAGGAUCGAGUUCUUUAGUCUAGGGUUGACUCCUUGGCUUACUUGCUCGAUUCUGACUUGAUAGUGGGAUUCCUCUACAGCCCAGUUCCGUUUUGUCCUCUUAUGCUUCCUAGGCAUUCUUAUACUCAUUAAUGGAAUGGAAUUGACUAUGCCUAAUGGAAUUGAAUUAACUAUGCCGAUUCCUGUGCCUUAUUCCGAUUAUUAUGCUGGAGUGCAAUUAUGUAGUUUGAGUUUGGUUCGACUCCUCAACAGUUAAUGGACAGAGCCAGUCUUUCCGCGCUCAUUCCGAGUUGCGUUUCCUCCGUUUCCGUCCUAGCCCUCCUAUCACUAUUCCUCUUAGUCUCAUGCGCCAGUGGAUCGUACCAUACCACUACGACUUUUGUUUCUGGUGUCUAGGUUUCAUAGGCUUCAAAUGCAGAGGGCUCCUACAAUAGGCAAUAAGGCAGGGUCUCUCUCUAUAGACGUUAUAAGGCUUUGCGCUACCGUGGAGUAUGAUUGCUACGCUGUUGAGUUGUUCUAUAUUAUUUGUUUGACUAUUUCUUCUACCUAGAUGCACUACAUCGUACCCAUAUUAUUUAUACUAGGGUUAAAAGCUACAAGUAAUAUAAUUUAUUCGUCUGGGCGUAGCUCCACUCUCUUUAAUAAUAGGUCCAUGGAUUGGUUGUCAAGUAAGCUCAGUAGUAUUGGAAUGGACGAUAUUAACUAUCAAACAAGUCAGAAUGCGCGACACCACCAGUGAACAGGAACGCACAUGGGAUCGAACAAGAACCUAACUUGGAUUUUCUUAACGAGCACAGGAUCAACAAUAACAAUAAGGGCAGGUAGGGUCACAGCUUCUUUUCUCUAAGGCACGUUUCGGGCAGAUAUGAUUUGCACUUAAGUGCUCUGUUUUGUUAACCUCUUUAUAUGAGUGGAGAGUGAUAUGAAUUCAUAUAUGAGUUUCUAGUGCAGUUACAUAUUCUAGUUUCUAGUGCUGUUAAUUAUGUAUUAUAUGAUUGGUGCUAUAUAUUCUUUUCUUAAGGUAUAGUUUGGCAGUUAGGUUAGGUGUUGCGCUUAUAUCAUAUGUCUACUCAACCUAGGUCACCUAUUAUUCGAUUUUUGAACUACAUCCAACUUUCAACCUUACUCUCCGGUUUGAUCUAAAGCGGCGCACAUUUCUCACUUUGACACUUAGCGCAUUUAUGGAGUUGGGCUUCUUUAUCGUAAACCUUAUUUCUAGCCGUUGAGGUCUGACUAUGCUAAUCAUCUAUCAUCGAGCGAAAGGCUGUUAUAAAGCAUUGACGCCUAUUUUAUACAGGAUGACUUGUGAGCUCCCCUAACGCACUUGUUCUUUCGAAAGCCCCCUACUUUGUAAAGGAUAUGAGUAAUCAACCAAACCCCGAACUCUACUUUCCGCUGGCAGGAUACCCUUACUUUAGCACAGCUGACUGACUUGAUACUUUACCUGAAGCAGAAAUAGAUACUACACUUGAAGCCUAAUCUCCUAACGUGCUUAAUUAGCAUAGAACUUUGGAAUAUUACCUGCACCGCUUAACCUAAGCUUCUGGAAUGUAAACUACAUCUGAUCUUGUCGACUUUACUCGACCUGGAACAGGCAAUUCAGAUGCCUACAUUGGUGAUGAAAGGGCUCUUGCAAGGGAACAAACAAGGGAGUUCAAGGGCCCUAGGGCGGUGAAGUCUUUCCCGCGUACUUUCCAAGUAUAGAGAAGGUUCUGCUACGUGGGCUCAGUUAUGGGCAUACACGGGUUAAGCGAUGCAAAAGAUGGAUCUUAAGCCUCAGAUGGAAAGUCAAGUGCUUGUGUGAAACAAUUCCAGUCAAGUUCUCAUCUCAAACACAAACCACAGGAAACAGUCUUAAUUCCGUAAGUCUAUGUCGAAUAUCUUUCCUUGCACUGAACAAGCGUUAGGUGGGAAUUCAUUCGGUAAGCUGUAUGAGAAUAAGAACCCGUAAGCCGUUGCUAAGGUUAGCUUGUCUCUGACUUUUGAGUGUCAUUCUCCCACUAUUCCUGGCAAUUCAAUUAAUGUCGAGUUCGGAAAUGAAAAAGAAAAGAAAAGCUACGUCCGUUAUCGAGGUGGAAGCGGCGGUAUUGCUUGCCAGGUGUUCAUUCAUCGUAUCUUCCUACUAGUGAAAUCAGAUAACAAAGUAACCAUGGCUCAGGUCCACGAGUGCCACUUUCCAUUUCUCAAAGUGACUUAAGGAAACGUUAAGGCAAGCAAGGACGCUACGAGUCUUGUAAACAAGCCGAACUGCCUGAGCUACCUGGCUUUUCAAGACCAUUAGAGUAGUUAACCCAACAGAAAAACGUGAGCGGCUUUCAAUUAGAAGUUCAGCUCGAGUGAACACGGCCUUUUACUUCACUAUUCAUUAUUAUAUAUAGAGGUAUAGACUAUUCAUUAUAUAUAGAGGUAAUGGUUUUACUUCACUAUUCAUUAUAUACCUUUUACUUCACUAUUCAUUAUAUAUGGGUAGGGGCUUCCUUCUAUUUUCUUUCUUUUCAUUAGUCAAGCUUCAGCUUUCGAUGAACUCCGUCUUUUUCCUUUGGCUUCCGCCUUGCCCUAACCCUAAGUAGGUGCCUUAGUUUACAAUUUCACCCUUGUUUUUCUUUAGCUAAGGAAUGCCAGCUACCAGACUGAGCUACCCUAGCAACAAGAGAUGCAACAGCUGCAAGCCGAGCUGCCCUACAAGAAAAGCUAGCUGACCCGGAUAUACAACUUUGCAACUAGUCUAUUCGCACACCAAAAGAUAUUUGACUUUAGUACUACCUUCAGUACGACAAGGGGCUGUAUAACCCCAAAGAGUGAAUCUCUAACAACGACACAAGCUGUUUCACUUUCAAACUCGGCAUUCUAUGGUGCCUGACCCUAAUCCACUUACGGAAUUGGAAGGAACCUGUUCCCCUUUCAAAAGAAUUCAGAUGGCUAAUAUAGAGUCCGGGGGGCUACUAAAUAUCUCCUUUACCUAAUAGAGCACUAAAGUCAAUUCCAUAGCUACCUUCUCUAUCUCUUGGAUCCCUUUCAUGUAAUUAGCCUUAACGGCCUAAAGGUUUACUAAGUUAGUGGAGUAUCGACGGCGUAGUGAGUUCUUUCUUUUAAUCGUAAAGGCAGGAACUUGAAUCGAAUCCUUAUUUCUAACUACAGCAAGGCAAGCCGAGCUAACAGAGCGAAACAGCCCCACUUGGUAGUUUGAAGACAAGGCUUCUACCAACUAGGAAAGGGAUAGGUUUGAGACUACUAAGCUACUAGUCUCCCCAUCCCCGAUCUCUUAAAGCUUAUUUCUCAAAGGAAGCUAACAGGGUGGGUUUGGCCUAACUUAGCCGCAAGACAAGACUGAGAUCGAAGUGUGGUAUCUUAAACCUACAGGGAAGGAGAUAUUAGGAGAAAGCGCUAUUUACUAGCCACUUGCUAGGCCACGGAACCAGCGAACAGAAACAACGUUAGCUCCGUGAAGUAGAGUACGCAUCUUAGUACGCUAAGGAAUAUGAUUAGUAAGACAGACGUACCCUUAUUGAUUGCGCAAUUCCACUCUCGCCUUAUUUCGUUUCGGCAUUCACUCGAGCUAGGAAGCCAGCUAGUCGUACUCACCGUUUUCCGUCGUGUCUUGAAGGCGUGCCCCCGUCCGCCCCAACCUAGGAACAAAACAAAGACGUUGCGUUUCCCUUUUGGGGGUGAAAAACAUCCCACAGUAUAGUGAUAGUGCCCGGUCCACAGUUGAAGAGUCCGCCUUCCCUUGAAAAACACCACACAGAGAAAGGGUUCUAGUACAGAUGCUCCGGAAUAUGAUUAGUAAGACAGACGUAGAAAGUGCAGAUUACUAUAGCAGCAAAAGCAAAUAGAUCCUUGUUCGAGUGUUCUUAUGGUGUACCCGUCUGGUCUACUAUAGUCUUUUCACCGUCGCUAGCAACGGCCCACCAAAUGGCACAACCACAGUAGCAGCCUUUACUAUCUCUUGCUCUGGUCUACGCUCCCCGAGUCGCCACCCUCAUUUACAACUAUAAACAAACAGAACUACUACGGAUAUACUUUUCUUAUGGCAAACCAUUCGAUUGAAUGCAAUCUAUGAUUCAAUGACACGAAAAAGAGAUAGAAACAAUAGUUUGGAUAUACAGCUAGAGUAUUGGAAAAGCAGCUGCAAAAUCAACAACGGGCACAGUCUAUCGUAGAUCCCACAUGAUGCCUUGCACCCUCCCUCACCAAACCUUGUCUCCCGCUUAGAAACUUGCUUUGAGUCGAGCUCACUUUCGAUUUCGCCCUGUAUUGCUAUUUUCUAUUUGCCAAAUGAAAUCAUAUCCGCCCAUGCCCGUCGGUAGUCAUCUCGAUAGUAAUCAUCAUAGUGAGUGCCGAUCUUUCAGAGCGGCCAGUAAGAGGUGUGUGUUGAUGUUGAUCAUUAAAGGUUUGCUAUGGUAGGUCGAGCCAUGGUACUACAGGAGUUCCACUGUUCAGAUAGACUCAUGAAUAAGGGCUUCCUUUUUCGUUUUUCCUCCGCUGGCAUAUGUAUUUUCUGCAUUUUGUUUGGGAGUCAAAGCAGUGGUGAGACUGUGUCUGGUAAGCUUACGAGUUCUACUGUGGGACGGGAAGAAUAACAAGCAGUGUAUAGUAUAGAAGAACUAAUAUUGGUAAUUACAGAGGAAGAGGUCGAAAUUAGGACUCCCAAGAACGCACACAGGACACAGAUCCUUACUCUUUUCCUUUCGCCAACUAGAACCGGGGGUAGGGGUCAAAUGCUUUUUCUAUAAAGAAAGAGAAGAAGAAUAUAGCUAGCUUCACACAUACAUGAAUAUAGCCAGCUUCACGCUCAUCCUAAAGAAUCACAUAUAGGUGCAGCAGCCUCUACAUUAAGGACAGAGGCAGAGGAUAAGUCUCGGUGGGCUUACUCCUUACUUACUCCUUACUGACUCAUAACUCACUCCUUACUUCUAACUCAUAACUACUAACUUCCUUCCUAGCCUAUUAACUUCUUGAAACAAGCCCAGCUGCUGGCAACACAGAGCCACUUGCAACAGGCUCGGAUCUGGUUUCGUUCUUAGACUACUUAGGUUCAUUCUGACACCCCGGGGAGGACUGGUAAGGCUGUUACUACCAAGUUGCAUUCUAAUACUUAGCAGUUACAUUCUUUGACUAGCUUCUUCAAUUCCCUUAGUUUCAGGUUAGCGAGUCAACUUCCUGGUUUUCAUUCUGAGUUGAACUAGCUCCGUUCUAUGACUUACUGGUUGAAUUCUUACUUCACUAUACUAGAUGCUAGGUCUUCUCAAUAAAACAUAGCGGUGUGGACAAUCGGUAGGCAACAGAUACUAGCUAUAGCCUGUAACUACCCAGAGCCCCAUACUGUAACUCCUUGGGUUAAGCCUGAGCGGACAGUAGUAAAGCCUGAGAUGCACUGGUUUGAGUCUGUAACUGCCUUACUUCAUUCUUUGACUUGCUAGCUCCAGUCUUAGUCUGUAGAGUGCAAUUCCGUAAUUCCUACUUAUGAGCUUGCUGGCUCUUCUCUGAUCCUAAACCCCUGGCUCUGCUCUAACUGGUUCUGCAGCCCUUUUGCCUUGGAAUAGGAUGAAAGAGUAUAGAGUGAGUGGAAUAUGUAUUAGUAGGCGGUGGUCAACACCUCUUUCCGGUAGUCGAAGGUAAGCCUCGUUAGGUUAGCUCGUCCGGUAAGAAAAAGUGCAAGUGACUUCUAGGAUUUCGAGUUCCGUGCUCUAGGGCUUUGACUUCUCAUAAGGAUCACUUUUGGAAAUAGCGAACCUGCUGCUUGCUCGUGGCUUGUGCUAAUGCAACUCGGGAAUGAGGGCAGGCUACUGUCAGACUACUUGCUCUUUGUCCCUAACUCUGUAGCUAAUAAGUCACACUGCUUCCUAUGAUCACUCGACUCCCAGAGCUCCGUUAGUGCAAGUAAAAGAUGCUAUAAAGUCUCCAAUUUGGUCAGAUCUUAACUAAUUAAUAUACAAAACUCGCUAACGCUUGGCUUAACUCAACAAGCAACGGCAAUAAAAGAGUAAUUAAGUGGAGGCUAAGGAAAAGAGUCAUUAAGUAGAGGCUAAGGCUGCUAAUAAGGAUGGUCUUCUUUAAGCAAUGGAACAAACUACGGAAGAAGAGAAGUAUUACUCUCAGGUCUAACAAACGCCGGAAUAAGCUUAGGCACAAUAAUAAUCAAAUAAGUAACGGCUAGAAUCAUAAUAAAAUAAAGUGAAGUGAAGUAAUGGCUAGAUAGAUCCAAAAUGUAAGUGCAUAUAUGAUAGAAGUAAGAUAGUAACAAACCACAGCUUAUGAAUAAUAUAGUGCAUAUUCCAUAAAUGAUAGUAGUCGUCGUUGUGCAUUAGUGAGUGAGAAUAAGAAUAUAGGGUAGGGUUAGCACUGUCCGUACUUACUGUUGUUGCAAGAGAAGGAGAAAGACACUCAGGUCAUUCGAAUUGCAAUAUGUUAAGUCCUAGCAAUCGAACUCUCCUUGAAGUGGAGAAUGUUAUAAAGCAAUAACACUCUCUUACAUGACUUGCUCCCAGGAUUCUAAGAUAAGAAGGAUGAGAAUGAUAAUAAGGAUAAUAAGCGGUGCUAGGAAAGGAGACCAGAGCAGAGCAGGGGCAGAGCUAGUAGUUUCUUAUGGGCUUGUCUGCUUGGCUGUCUCUUUGCUCAUUGAACUGUCAACAACUCUCCCUGAUGCCACUAAGUCUGGGUCUUGACUUUAACUGUAUGAAGAAUUAAUGGAAUCUUUAGUGCCUACCCUAUAUUGCCUACCCUAGUAGAUGAGAAUAGUCAUAUUGUUUUGAAUCUUACCUCAUUAUAUUAUACCUUGUUUUGUUGCAGCUGACGCUCCUGCUACUGCUGAUCUUACUCUUCCUUAAAUAGGUGGGUAGGCGCAUGCGCAUCCCGAACAAGACACUGUGAUUGAAUUGUGCCUGGUCUACUGCCUUCCUAAGCAUUCUAUUUCUAUGGAAAGGAUUAUUUACAAGAACAGAACCCUUCUUCACUAAGAACAGAACCUUUCUUCACUGACAAUACAGUCAACGGCUAACUCAACUCAAGCAAGCUACCUUUCUGAAAGCUGGAAGAAACCUAGCUUCUUAUGUUGUAGGGCCUGUACCUGACUUGCCCUUACUUAUUAAGCGGCUUGCCCCUUCCUAUCUUUGCCCUUGUAGUAUACGCUUGGCGAAUAUAAUAAGAAGUUCCAUGUUCAAUUCCCCAGGUGUUGGCGACGAGGCAGGAAGUUCAUGAGUGGAAUCGACUCUCGAAUCAGAGGUUCCGCUUUCAAGAUGGGGGGACUAGAAAAGAAAGAAAGAGAAAGAUAUGAAGCGGGUAGGUAACAUUAUUCUAGUUCGGGUGCUCCAAAUACAUAAUGGAAAUUGUGAAAUAGAAUAAUCAACUGCUGAAGUAAAGUAUCUAGGAGUUGGCACAGGAUCAGAUUAAGGAUCGCAGGUAAAGAUGCAAGAGCAAGGAGGGCUAGAUUCAUAUUUCUUAAAGAAACAAAGUAGCUCGCAAAAGAUCAAUCAGUAUUUGUUGAGUCGGCCCAAUAAACAAGUGUAUGGUUCGCCAGUGAAAUCUUUGACUUCAUAACAAGCAACGUGGAGUUGAGCUGAUUGGUUACCACCAAUUAUGUUUUAGGGGGCAGAGUGGAACAUGGGUAUUACCACCAGACGAGAAUAGAAUGGCCUUAUUGACCUUUGACUUGAUUAUGGCCUUCUUCAGUGCCCAGCUCUUUCACGAAGACAGGUGAACUCAGGUAAUACUUAAUGCGGAAGUUAACUACUCGGUUUUUCGAGUUAUUUUGUAUUUUGGUUAUUUUAUUACAAUACCCCACCUUAGUACAAGUCAGUCCACCACCCUACCCGAGCCUUGUAAUAGAAUGAUGAGUUGCGAUAACUACCCAAACACAAGCACGGAACCAGUAUCUGAGUCCCCCUCACCAAAACCCGAGAAAGUACGACGUAUUAACUGACGUUGCUUCUGGUGUCUCUAGCGGUUCCAAUCCAAUCAUGACUAGUGUCUCCUAGCUUACCGAAGUCAGCGAACCCCUUUGCUUUGUUACAAAGACCUCUUUCGGAGAAUUUCGCUACAUCUUUUCGAAAACUCAUUUCCAUAUUUGAUACCACUUCUUUUACAAUUCAUUUCCAUAUUGUCCACUCCACUACUUCUUGUACAAAAGAAACUCAGAGCUCAUCUCAUCUCUGCAGGGAACACCGCUUUAGACGCGAAUAAACGCUCUAUAGGCGAAAAUCCUCCGCUCUAAGUGACAAGGGACGAAAGCAGAAAGGACACUCUAAAAACGAAACAGCAGCCAAGAAGCCGAACACACAGCUGGAGUAAACAAGUAACAGCAGCGAAUAAUGGCACCAAAUGAAUAAGAAAGCGAAGGACAACGAGGGAGGGAAAGCGGAAAGGAAGAGUAGCUCAGAUAAACCAAUGAAACAAGCAACCUAGCCUAACAGUAACGUCCAAACAACCAACGGCGGAAUAAACACGCGCAUAGCUGACGCGAUAACAACAGCUCAAAAACAUGUGUAGUAGACCAUCCUUAGAAGCACUGACAUAAUACCAAGCUCAUGAACUACCCAGCGGAUCAAACUCCCAAGAAGUCCAAUUUCCGGAAAUACGUCCUAUUAACCUUAUCUAGAGCCGAUGCAACGAAAGAAGUAGCAGCUAUCCAAAGAGAAGAAAUAGCUCAAAGGAUAGAAAAGGCUCCAUUGUGUCUUAGUAUUAUAGUAGCUAAGGAGCAUCACGCAGAGAUGGGGCACUACCACUUUCAUAUUGGAAUACUCUUGGAAAAAGGAGUUCAUAGAUUAAGCGCUAAGAGAACCUUUAGGAAGUUGUUCCCUGAAUUCGAGGGGGCACAGCUAUAUGUGUCAUUUCACAGGGCACACACGUCUGUGUGUAAGUAUGCUAUGAAAGAAGAGAAAGAGCCAUUCGUCUGGGGAAAACAGUAAACCAGCCGGAUAAAAGAAUCUGUUAAGGCUCAAGAAAUGCAAAGAACAAUACCUGAAAGAAACCAAUGGGUUGUGCAACGGCUAUAAACCUAUGAUAACUGGGAACAAGUGUAUCAAGAGCCAGAAAUAGUAAAGAUGCUCGUGUAUCAAGAGCCAGAAAUAGGCAAGAUGCUCUUCUCGUCUUACAACUCCAUAAAGGCGGUUUUCGAAGAUUUGCAAGGAAUCAGAGAAAGCGAACUCCGCCUAGAUCAAAGGUUUGAAAGCUACUUGGAGCAAAGAGGGUGGCCAGAAGAAUACACACUACAAUAGCUAAAGGAAAAAUGCUUCCUAUUCGACUGGUUAGCAACGAAUCUUAUCUUUGGUAGGCCCAUAAAGACAAAGCUGCUGUUGUUAUAUGGAGAAAAGACAAAGCUGCUGUUGUUAUAUGGAGAGCCAAGCACACAGAAAACACUCUUAUUUCACACAGAAAACACUCUUAUUUGAAAUGAUGGGGGAAGUCUUGAACGAACAUAUACCACGCAUCCAACAGAAAGAAUGACUUCAAGGGGGUACAUUAUCAUUAUGAUUUAUGGUUGUUCGAUGAAUUCCAUGUAGCAGA